AAGCCAGUCAAUGAGUCCACUUACCAGAAUGUAUUUCCUCAGAAAUUUAGAGAAAUCUGGCAAUUAUAGGAAAGCCAUGUUAUGAACCUUAUAGACAUUGAACUCAUUAAGGUUCUUAAAAAUGGCUAUAAGA